GCGUUCUUAGAUUUGAUCUCGGCAUAUAGCACGGCCUACUCUCAGUUCGGCGGUCUUCUGGCAUUGCCAGGCAUCGUCUCACCCCAUUGAGCAUGGCAACGUCUCUUUAUCAGAUGGCUUUCCCGAAGGAGCAUAGGGUCCAGAAUCAACUGCGACCGGCUUCCCGUUGUCCAGGGGGUAUCCCAAAUAAGGAUAACGUCCAGCUCAACAGCCCAGGACGAUUUCUCAUAGCCAUCACACGAUCACUCAAAUAUGGCCCAGGGCACCGUGCAUUGCACUCAAAUGCUUCAAUUAAAAUGGUGAGCCUGGCCUUUUUCUUCGUAUUAAAAACAUCCCGAAAAUAGUCGUGUGUGGGUACUCGGUCAAUUCGAACCAGAAGACUGAUACCUAUCUUUUUCAAACCCCACUAUUUCAUAUAGUGCUAAAAACCAUUUUCGGUAUCAAAACCCGACACCUGGGAUUUUCUGAAUAAAUAUUGGAAAUUCACAAUUUUUGGAAUUAAAUACCAAAAAUCAAAUCAGCACUCAAUUUGCAUAAUUUAACACUCAAUUGCAUAAAUUAACCACACCAUUGCAAUCAGCACGAAAUUCCGGUCAUCGGCUAUCCCGGCCUAAUUUCCGGAAAAAUAAUUAAUAAUUAAAUAAUUACUGAAAUUAAUUAAAUAAAUCAAUUUAAAUUCUACAAAUAAUAACCUAGGCCAAAAUCAUUAAAUUAGUAACCAAUACGGACCCGGAAAAUUUCCGAACCCUACUAGAUAAAUAGUACAAUUUAUUUAGGCCUUAGCUAAACCAUGCUAACCACCUAACAUGCUCAAUUAAAUAAUUCAAUUUCUAAUUUAAUCUAAUUAACCACCUAAUUCCUAAUAAAAUAAAUCUAAACACCCCUUAAACGUCAUUAACCUACUAAGCAGAGUUUAGAGUAUAAACUCACCGGUGUAUCGCGAAAACCGGUUCACCGCAACGACGACGCGACGGCGGCCGAAACCUUAAUUUUCGGCGGCGUCGGCGGACUCUCGGACCGGGCCUAAAACGGGCCCAACAAAUCUCAACCCAAAUCUGAGAUUUGUUUCCAACUUGGGCUGGGCUUCACUUGAUUCGCGGGCUGAACUUCGGUGGACUUGGGCUUCAAUUAACGCGGGCUUGGAAAGGCUGAGUUGAGCUUGAAUUCAAGUGGGCCUUAAGCUUGCAAUGGAAUUGGGCCUGAGCUUGAAUCAUUUGGGCUUUGCUGGGUUAAACAAAAUGGGCUUCUCUGGUUUCUUGGACGGGCCCAACUGCUGGGCCGUGAAAUCCACUGGACUGAGCGCUGUCAACCGAAGCAGAAACGGAGCUGCAGGUCUUUGGGGCUUGCUGGCUUAGCUGGCGUCGAGCUGAAGGUGACGCUGGCGAAGACACAAACGAAAGAUGGAGCAGGGAAGCAGCUGGCGGUGGAGUCUUCGAGCGGAUGAAGUCCACGGCGUUAAUGGGCUGAAGAAAUCG
rnacentral:lncRNA from 1 species